GUGAACAUAGCAGACUGCUCAGUAACACGUGGAUAACCUGACCUUAGGACUGGCAUAACCCCGGGAAACUGGGGAUAAUUCCGGAUAGAUCAUAAAUGCUGGAAUGCUUUAUGAUUGAAAGGUUUCGACCGCCUUAGGAUGGAUCUGCGGCCUAUCAGGUUGUAGUGGGUGUAAUGUACCUACUAGCCUACGACGGGUACGGGUUGUGGAAGCAAGAGCCCGGAGAUGGAUUCUGAGACAUGAAUCCAGGCCCUACGGGGCGCAGCAGGCGCGAAAACUUUACAAUGCGGGAAACCGUGAUAAGGGAACACUGAGUGCUAGCAUUUAUGUUAGCUGUCCACAUGUGUAAAUAGCAUGUGAUAGCAAGGGCUGGGCAAGACCGGUGCCAGCCGCCGCGGUAACACCGGCAGCCCGAGUGGUGAUCACUAUUAUUGGGUCUAAAGGGUCCGUAGCCGGUUUAAUCAGUCUUCUGGGAAAUCUAAUCGCUUAACUAUUAGGCUUCCAGGGGAUACUGUUAGACUUGGGACCGGGAGAGGUAAGAGGUACUGCAGGGGUAGGAGUGAAAUCUUGUAAUCCCUGUGAGACCACCAUU
rnacentral:rRNA from 1 species